AUGACUUGCAAAUCCCCCAGCUCUCCAACUUUCUCUCUCCUGUGGGUGAUGCUGGCCAGGACCCUCCACCCCUAAGCUAUGCUUGGGUAACUCUCACUGGCCAGCUUUGCCUUUUCCAGAAUGUCACAUAGUUGGAGUCAUACAAGUUUUCAACAUGAAUUGAUGAUGAAGAUGAUGAUGGUACCUACCUGGUGAUGCCCUGGUUAACUAGGUAGGGGAUCUUCAUGCUCUUUGCUUGACAAGAAGGAAAAAGUCGGCAAGUGAAGGAGAAAAAAUAAAAGUGAUAGAAUCUGGUCACUGAAGCAUCACCCCAGACCCUGGUGACAUCAUCCUCAUUCCUGCAUCAGGAGAGGUGUCUUUCCAGGCAGAGCAUCACUGAGAGGAGUACUCCGUCCCUGACAGACCUGGCUUGCAUCCUAGCCUAGAUAUUGAUUAUGUGACCUUAGACAAGUUUCCUAUCUUGAGCCUGAGCUUCCUCCACUAUUAAUUGGAGAUAAUAAUAAUUUCUAAUUGAGAUAAUUAGCAUAUGCUCUAAUUUGAGCAUAACAUGUGCUCAAAAAAUAGUGAUCACUGUUGUUUAUGGCUGCUCUUUACCAAGCACUGUGCAACAUGUUGGGUGUACUGCUCUUGGAUCCUGCUUGGGAUUCUCUCCCCCUCCCUCCCUCUCCCUCUCUCUCUCUCCUUCUCUUACUACCCC